ACACAAUAUCUCCUCGCUACAAUUUCUUAAUCUAUGGGGGAACAAUCUCAAGGGACCCUUACCACGGGAGAUUGGCAACUUAACCAAGAUGCAGGAACUCGAUCUUGGUGAAAAUACGUUUACCGGUGAAAUACCCAAAGAGAUAAGCAAUCUCGUGGAGUUGGACAUCCUUGAUCUGCGUUGAAUAGCUUUAGUGGUUCACUUGCAAUGGAGAUCUUCAACAUGGAGUUAAGGAUCCUUGAUCUUGGGUUUAAUAGCUUUAGUGGUUCACUUGCAAUGGAAAUCUUCAACAUAUCAAGGCUGAGAAAAGUUUAUCUUGGAGACAACAAUCUAGUUGGGUCUAUACCUCAUUCAAUCUCCAAUUGUUCAAAACUUACCUCAUUAGAUCUCUCAUACAACAAACUCACUGGUUUAAUUCCUAACUCCCUUGGAUAUCUUACUCAUCUACAGUUCUUAAACUUGGGGGAAAAUAAUUUAACCAGUGACUCAUCAUUUAGUUUCUUGACCUCCUUAACCAAUUGCAGAAAAAUAACAACUCUUUCUCUAGAGUUCAACCCUCUAGAUGGUGUGCUUCCAGUCUCUAUAGGAAAAUUCUCCACAUCUCUUCUAAAAUUUUAUGCCGGAAGUUGCAAAAUCAAUGGCCAAAUUCCAAAUGAAGUUGGGAACUUAAGUAGCUUAUUAUCCCUUGAUAUUUUUGAAAACAACUUGGUUGGAUCGAUUCCCACAUCAAUUAGCAACUUGACAAACCUUCAGGUCUUGGACUUGAGUGAAAACGCUCUAACAGGAUUUAUUGGAGAUAGUGUAUGUAAAUUGCAGAGAUUGGGUAACAUUUACUUUGGUCAAAAUCAACUUUCAGGAUCUCUUCCAAAUUGUUUAGGGAACGUUACUUCGCUUAGAGAGAUACAUCUGCGUUCCAAUAAAUUGAAUUCCAAUAUACCAACAAGCAUAGGGAAUCUUAAAGAUCUUGUGGUUCUUGACUUAUCGUCAAACAACAUGGGUGGCUCUUUACCUGCAGAAAUUGGAAAUCUAAAGGUUGCGAUACAAAUGGAUCUGUCAAUGAAUCAAUUCUCAAAUGGAAUUCCUAGAGAAAUUGGAGGAUUACAAAAUUUGCAGAAACUUUCUUUGAGACACAACAAGUUGCAAGGAUCCAUACCUGACUCAAUGAGCAACAUGAUAGGUUUGGAAUUUUUAGACGUUUCUCAUAACAAUAUAACGGGAAUCAUUCCCAAAUCCCUGGAGAAACUUCAAAAUCUCAAGUAUUUCAAUGUUUCUAUCAACAAAUUGUAUGGUGAAAUACCCUCGGGAGGUCCUUUCAAGAACCUUUCAAGUCAGUUUUUCAUCUACAAUGAAGCAUUGUGUGGUUCUUCGAGAUUUAAUGUCCCACCAUGACCCACUUCAUCAAAGCAUAGAUCAAAUGGGAAAAAAUUGCUAGUUCUAUUUCUUAUGAUGGGAAUUGCACUUGUAUUUGUUCCUACUUCCCUUGUGCUCGUGUGGAUAAGGUAUAGAGGAAGUAAAAGAGCACCUCAGCAAGUUGAUUCAUUGUCUACCGCAACAAGAGGAAGAAUUUCAUACUAUGAAUUGCUCGAAGCAACUGAUGCGUUUAGCGAGAGUAAUCUGAUUGGUUUCGGGAGUUUUGGCUCUGUCUACAAAGGAAUUCUCAGAAGUGGGACUACUAUUGCAGUUAAAGUGUUCAAUCUGCAAUUGGAAGUGUCAUUCAAGCAUUUUGAUACAGAAUGUGAAAUUUUGCGUAGCAUUCGCCAUAGGAAUCUAGUAAAAGUCAUCACUAGUUGUUCCAACCUUGAUUUUAAGGCUUUGGUGCUCGAGCAUAUGCCUAAUGGGAGUCUUGAGACGUGUUUGUAUACACACAACUAUUUCUUAGACAUCUUGCAGAGACUAAGCAUAAUGAUAGAUGUGGCAUGUGCGUUGGAAUAUCUCCACCAUGGGUGCUCACUGCCCGUGAUUCACUGUGAUCUGAAGCCUAGUAAUGUCUUGCUCGAUGAGGAUAUGGUUGCCCACCUAAGCGACUUUAGUAUUUCAAAAGUGCUUGGUGAAGAUGUGAGUAAUUUAUACACUAAAACCUUAGCAACAUUUGGUUAUAUUGCACCGGAAUAUGGACUAGAUGGAUUGGUGUCAGCAAAAUGUGAUGUCUAUAGUUACGGGACCAUGUUGAUGGAGACGUUUACAAGGAGGAAGCCUAAUGAUGAAAUGUUCGAGGGAGAUCUUAGCUUGAAGCAAUGGGUGAGUAAUUCACUUCCAGAGGCAGUAAUGGAUGUUGUAGAUGCUAACUUGGUAACACCAAAUGAUAGUUACUUGAAGUUAGAUUGUGUGGCAUCGAUCAUGAAAGUGGCAUUAGAUUGUUGUGUUGAAUCUCCGGCAAGAAGGACAAACAUGAAAGAUGUCAUAGGGAUGCUACAAAAGACCAGGAUUCAACUUCUCGCAUGUUGAACAUGUUCUUCAAAACUCUUGUUCCCAAGUACUUGUUUUGUUGCAAAUGCUUGCUAAAAUAUUGUAUCGAUGUGAAGAAUGUAUUUUUAUUUUAGCACUUUUGAAAUCCUAAUUACAAUAAAUCUUAUUAAUUCCUCUUAAAAUCAAUGUUCUAAAUUGGUAGAUCACAAUCAAUAGAGGAAAAAUAAUUCUUUCUAUUUCCUGCUUUUUGGAUGUGUUCAGUGUUGUGCAACUUCUUCCAUUAUGUUUUAGCACCUCUAAACAUUUUUGUGAGGAUAUGAACAGUUAAUAAGAGAUGGGGCAUCUGAUAUUUAUCGAUUUCACUGGAAAUUUAGUAGGCAAUUUGGAGUAACAUUUUUGUUUGUUUGUUUUAUACUUAGCGAGUUCCAUCAGCAAAUAAAUCUAAUACCAAACGUCGAGCGCUUUGUGGGAACUAAUUCACAAUGAGUUCAAAUGGGUUCUAGGCAAAUUCAUUAUCAGUGGCAAAAAUUUAACAUUAACUAAUUGGUUUAUCCAAUACACUUAAAAAAAAAAAAAAAAAAAAAGAACUUCUCUAGAAAACACAACAUUUAGGAGUAGUUCAUAAUUGAAUCGUUGAAAGACAUAUAGUGUGUAUAUAAUAAGUUGGGCUCUACCCUUCCCGCCCACCUCAUUAAUAUUUGAAAGGAAG